rnacentral:lncRNA from 1 species
GGAGCCCCAAAAAAUAAAGUCUGACACUGUUUCCACUGCUUCCCCAUCUGCUUCCCUGGGUUGCUAUUCCCUUCUCCAGGAUCUUUCUGACCCAGGGGAUCGAACCUGCGUCUUCUGCAUCGGCAGGCGAGUUCUUUACCGCUGAGUCACUUGGGAAGCCUUGGCCGCUGGACCUCCAGUGCCCAAGACGAGGAUGAUGACAGCUCCCAUGGAAUUUACUUAAAGAGUUAUUCAGAGAGUAAAUAUUCCUUCUUGUCUGGCCUAGUGCAUCUGUAUUUGAAUAAUGUAUCAUCUGAGUCAACACGGCCUUCUGUGCUCUGCGCCGAGCCUUUGCCGCGUUGCACAGCU